AGGAGGACAUGGAGAACAGUUCCUCAACUCUAUGCCUUUCAGUUCACGUUCCAUCCCUUCACAAAAGAAGAGUUGACUCCAAUACUUUAAGUUUAUACAGCUGGAAGAUAAAUCCACAGUUUUUCCUUCUGGUCCAUUAUGUAAGGAAGAGUGUAUUUGGUCUGAACUUCCACAAGGCACUGAUCCUGCAUGAGACAGGCGAGCAUGUCUGGAAACAACCACCAAAUCUGAGUGGUAAGAUGAUAAGUAACUAGAGAAAGGGAUUCAUGGAGUGAGGCAAAAUCUGAAGACUUCCUUAAAGCAGCAGGAGUACCAAACUGUCACACAGGCAGCCUGGAAGUUAAUUAAUAGACUCAGAGUGAAAUCCAGCAACAUAGUUCGCAAGCCCAUUGCUUUUCAUCCUAACAAACUCUUCUUCUGCAAAAUGAAAAUGAUUGUUAUGUGAAUGAAAAAAACUUGCGUGUGUACUUUGACUGUGGAUAUGAAAGACCACAAUGCAAACACUGGAGCUUGAAAUAAUGUUCCAUUUGUGCCUCAUUUUCCAUAUGAGCCUGAGCACAACAGCUUCUGGAUGGCUGCAUAAUCGGUGAGUUUGGCAUAUGACAGAUGUGAGAGCCAGCUUGUGAAACAGCAGAGAUAUGCAAGGACAACUGACCACUGACGGGACCCAACUCCUUAAUGUACCAAGAUAAAAACCUAUUUUUGAGACUGAUUGAGUUUUAAUUAAAACAUGUAUACAAAAUUGGUGCUAGAACAAGUGAUGGUGUGAGGGGUAAUGUCUAGGGAAGCAUAGACUAGACUGGAUCACUUAACUUUGCAAGACAAAAGCCAAGUACUGUUUAUAGACAUAGUGCCUGAUGUGUUCUACGUAAUACCAGGGAAGAAAAGAACUACUGAAGCUAUAUGAGAAUUAUACUAACAGCAGAGGAAAAUUAAAAAAGCCAAAACUUGCUCUGCAUAACUUCAGGCUGGAAGUCAGAGGGAAGUUUCUUACCGUUAGAGCAGCGAGGGUAUGGAACAGUCCUCCAGAGUUGUGCCAGGCAAAAAAUUAAACCCUUAAUUGGUUUCAAGAUGCAUAAAUGAUCAAGUUAAGAGGAAUUAUAAAACCAUGUUGCUUACAAUAGCCUGGUUCCAGCCCACUGCUCCUAC